UGGGGAAUAUUGGUCAAUGGGGCGAAAGCCUGAACCAGCAACGCCGCGUGAAGGAAGAAGGCCUUCGGGUUGUAAACUUUUGUCUUCAGGGACGAAUUUUGACGGUACCUGAGGAGGAAGCCACGGCUAACUACGUGCCAGCAGCCGCGGUAAUACGUAGGUGGCAAGCGUUGUCCGGAAUUACUGGGUGUAAAGGGUGCGUAGGCGGGCUGUAAAGUCAGAUGUGAAACUCCGGGGCUCAACUCCGGAACUGCAUUUGAAACUUACGGUCUUGAGUGAAGUAGAGGUAAGCGGAAUUCCCAGUGUAGCGGUGAAAUGCGUAGAUAUUGGGAGGAACACCAGUGGCGAAGGCGGCUUACUGGGCUUUAACUGACGCUGAGGCACGAAAGCAUGGGGAGCAAACAGGAUUAGAUACCCUGGUAGU
rnacentral:rRNA from 1 species